GUGGAAAAGCUCUGAGGUCAGAGCAUCUCCUUCUCGCUCGACGGAAAGGAAAAGGUGUGGGUUCGAGUCCCACAUUCCGCG
rnacentral:tRNA from 1 species